CAGCCGCCACGGGAAUACGGAGGGAGCUAGCGUUGUUCGGAAUUACUGGGCGUAAAGCGCGCGUAGGCGGCUUUUUAAGUCAGAGGUGAAAGCCCGGGGCUCAACCCCGGAAUUGCCUUUGAAACUGGGAAGCUAGAAUCUUGGAGAGGUCAGUGGAAUUCCGAGUGUAGAGGUGAAAUUCGUAGAUAUUCGGAAGAACACCAGUGGCGAAGGCGACUGACUGGACAAGUAUUGACGCUGAGGUGCGAAAGCGUGGGGAGCAAACAGGAUUAGAUACCCCUGUAGUCCCUGUCUCUUAUAC
rnacentral:rRNA from 1 species